AUUGAACGCUGGCGGCAUGCCUUACACAUGCAAGUCGAACGGCAGCACGGGAGCAAUCCUGGUGGCGAGUGGCGAACGGGUGAGUAAUAUAUCGGAACGUGCCCAGUCGUGGGGAUAACGUAGCGAAAGCUACGCUAAUACCGCAUACGAUCUACGGAUGAAAGCGGGGGAUCGCAAGACCUCGCGCGAUUGGAGCGGCCGAUAUCAGAUUAGGUAGUUGGUGAGGUAAAGGCUCACCAAGCCGACGAUCUGUAGCUGGUCUGAGAGGACGACCAGCCACACUGGGACUGAGACACGGCCCAGACUCCUACGGGAGGCAGCAGUGGGGAAUAUUGGACAAUGGGCGAAAGCCUGAUCCAGCAAUGCCGCGUGAGUGAUGAAGGCC
rnacentral:rRNA from 1 species